CACGUAGGGCGCAAGCGUUGUCCGGAAUUAUUGGGCGUAAAGAGCUCGUAGGCGGUCUGUUGCGUCCGCUGUGAAAACUCGGGGCUUAACCCCGAGCCUGCAGUGGAUACGGGCAGACUAGAGGUAGGUAGGGGAGAAUGGGAUUCCCGGUGUAGCGGUGAAAUGCGCAGAUAUCGGGAGGAACACCGGUGGCGAAGGCGGUUCUCUGGGCAGUUCCUGACACUGAGGCACGAAGGCCAGGGGAGCAAACGGG
rnacentral:rRNA from 1 species